rnacentral:rRNA from 1 species
CCUCUACACUCGCAGUUCCACUCACCUCUCCCGAACUCAAGACCGGCAGUUUCGAAGGCAGUUCUGGAGUUGAGCUCCAGGAUUUCACCCCCGACCUAUCGGUCCGCCUACGUGCGCUUUACGCCCAGUAAUUCCGAGCAACGCUAGCCCCCUUCGUA